rnacentral:rRNA from 1 species
UACGUAGGGUGCAAGCGUUAAUCGGAAUUACUGGGCGUAAAGCGUGUGUAGGCGGUUCGGAAAGAAAGAUGUGAAAUCCCAGGGCUCAACCUUGGAACUGCAUUUUUAACUGCCGAGCUAGAGUAUGUCAGAGGGGGGGUAGAAUUCCACGUGUAGCAGUGAAAUGCGUAGAUAUGUGGAGGAAUACCGAUGGCGAAGGCAGCCCCCUGGGAUAAUACUGACGCUCAGACACGAAAGCGUGGGGAGCAAACAGG